AUCUUAUUAAUAUAUAAAUCAAAAAUAGUAUAUUUGAUUUCCAAUCAAAAAGAUUAAAUUUUAAAUAAGAUA
rnacentral:tRNA from 1 species